UCUGGGUGUGGUGGCACAUGCCUGUAAUCCCAGUGACUUGGGAGGUUGAGACAGGAAGAUCAAAAGUUCAAGACCAGCCUCAGCAACUUAGUGAGGCCUUAAGCAACUUAGUAAGACCCUGUCUCAA
rnacentral:sRNA from 1 species